rnacentral:rRNA from 1 species
GAUGAACGCUGGCGGCGUGCCUAAUACAUGCAAGUCGAGCGAACAGACGAGGAGCUUGCUCCUCUGACGUUAGCGGCGGACGGGUGAGUAACACGUGGAUAACCUACCUAUAAGACUGGGAUAACUUCGGGAAACCGGAGCUAAUACCGGAUAAUAUAUUGAACCGCAUGGUUCAAUAGUGAAAGACGGUUUUGCUGUCACUUAUAGAUGGAUCCGCGCCGCAUUAGCUAGUUGGUAAGGUAACGGCUUACCAAGGCAACGAUGCGUAGCCGACCUGAGAGGGUGAUCGGCCACCCUGGAAGUGAGACACGGUCCAGACUCCUACGGGAGGAAGCAGUAGGGAAUCUUGCGCAAUGGGCGAAAGCCUGACGGAGCAACGCCGCGUGAGUGAUGAAGGUCUUCGGAUCGUAGAACUCUGUUAUUAGGGAAGAACAAAUGUGUAAGUAACUAUGCACGUCUUGACGGUACCUAAUCAGAAAGCCACGGCUAACUACGUG